AUCAUAGAAGAUGAGGGUUGGAAGAGACCUCAGGAGGUCAUCUAGUCCAACCCCUUGCUCAAAGCAGGACCAAUCCCCAACUAAAUCAUCCCAGCCAGGGCUUUGUCAAACCAGGCCUGAAAAACCUCUACGGAUGGAGGUAGGCUUGGUCUGCUUCUCCC